UGCAGUCGAACGGCAGCACGGGCUUCGGCCUGGUGGCGAGUGGCGAACGGGUGAGUAAUACAUCGGAACGUGCCCUGUAGUGGGGGAUAACUAGUCGAAAGAUUAGCUAAUACCGCAUACGACCUGAGGGUGAAAGCGGGGGACCGCAAGGCCUCGCGCUACAGGAGCGGCCGAUGUCUGAUUAGCUAGUUGGUGGGGUAAGAGCCUACCAAGGCGACGAUCAGUAGCUGGUCUGAGAGGACGAUCAGCCACACUGGGACUGAGACACGGCCCAGACUCCUACGGGAGGCAGCAGUGGGGAAUUUUGGACAAUGGGGGCAACCCUGAUCCAGCAAUGCCGCGUGUGUGAAGAAGGCCUUCGGGUUGUAAAGCACUUUUGUCCGGAAAGAAAUGGCCUGGGUGAAUACCCCGGGUCGAUGACGGUACCGGAAGAAUAAGCACCGGCUAACUACGUGCCAGCAGCCGCGGUAAUACGUAGGGUGCGAGCGUUAAUCGGAAUUACUGGGCGUAAAGCGUGCGCAGGCGGUUUUGUAAGACAGGCGUGAAAUCCCCGAGCUUAACUUGGGAAUGGCGCUUGUGACUGCAAGGCUAGAGUAUGUCAGAGGGGGGUAGAAUUCCACGUGUAGCAGUGAAAUGCGUAGAGAUGUGGAGGAAUACCGAUGGCGAAGGCAGCCCCCUAGGACGUCACUGACGCUCAUGCACGAAAGCGUGGGGAGCAAACAGGAUUAGAUACCCUGGUAGUCCACGCCCUAAACGAUGUCAACUAGUUGUUGGGGAUUCAUUUCUUCAGUAACGUAGCUAACGCGUGAAGUUGACCGCCUGGGGAGUACGGUCGCAAGAUUAAAACUCAAAGGAAUUGACGGGGACCCGCACAAGCGGUGGAUGAUGUGGAUUAANUCGAUGCAACGCGAAAAACCUUACCUACCCU
rnacentral:rRNA from 1 species